CUUAGAGACCCUUUGGUCAACGUCAAAGAUGGUCUCUGACCCACCAGGUAUAUACCUUGUGUGUAACUCCAAGUCUAAACUUGCAAAUUUUAACUGACGAAGACUAAGGGAACCUGCACGAAAAGUCCUUGCAGCAAGGAGCUUCAAAUACACAUCUUCUGGGAGAGUCUCUCUUUGCAAUGCCCAUCAAGGUUUCCCUGUGAUAACACCAAUUUUCCAUGAACUGUGAGGGCAAUUCAACAGCAUCCCACUCUAUUCCUCGAAUUCCAGCAACAAGACCCUCAUCUUGCUUGGUAAGCAUAUGCUGAAGGGCAUGACCAAAUUCGUGGAAGACAGUCUCAACCUCCCGAAAUGUCAUAAGGCUUGGUUUGUCUCCAACUGGUGGUGUUUGAUUGCACACCAUGUGGGCAAUAGGCAACCUUGGAGUAGUACCAUUGCGUGACAAAACCCGACUCCGACCAACUACCUCAUCCAUCCAUGCACCUCCUUUUUUCUCAGAUGGACGAGAGUAUGGAUCAAAAUAGAAGUAUGCAAUUGGACUACCAGAGGAAUCCUUCACACCAUAGAAUCUAACAUCAUUAUUCCAAACAGGAGCUAAACCAUCCGCUGGUUCAAUAUGAAUUCCAAAAAGUAUCUUUGCAAGGUUGAAAAGGCCAUCCAUAAC
rnacentral:misc_RNA from 1 species